CAAAGGGCCCUUUUUAGGGCCACCAACAGGUUUCGAUUGUGUAUG
rfam:Octopus bimaculoides Scaffold7113_contig_15, whole genome shotgun sequence.